rnacentral:rRNA from 1 species
UACGUAGGCAGCGAGCGUUGUUCGGAAUUACUGGGCGUAAAGAGUGUGUAGGCGGUGCUCUAAGUUCGGUGUGAAAUCUCCUGGCUCAACUGGGAGGGUGCGCCGGAAACUGGAGUGCUUGAGCGUGGGAGAGGAAAGCGGAAUUCCUGGUGUAGCGGUGAAAUGCGUAGAUAUCAGGAGGAACACCUGUGGUGUAGACGGCUUUCUGGACCAUAGCUGACGCUGAGACACGAAAGCUGGGGGAGCAAACAGG